rnacentral:lncRNA from 10 species
CACCACUGGCGACUUGUACACGAUCUCCGCCCCGUGGUCUGUCUUGGCUUUGGCGUUCUCGCGGAAGAUAUUGCCAGAUUGCAAAGGAAAAUGUGGAAGGAGAAGCUGGAGAAGAUCAAGGAUGUCUCCCACAGCCACUGAUGCCCAGACAUGAGCCACACAUUCCUCCUGUUUGCCAGUGACUGAUGAGUUUGGAGGGGCAGCAACUGUGGGCAACACUGGCAGGUGGGCCACAAAACAUGACAUGACAAAGGCCUUUUUAUGUGUGGAUGGGUGGAUGGAUGACUGUCUAGCGACUUAUCUAUCCAUCUAUUUAUCUAUCUAUCUAUCUAUCAAUCAUCUACCUAUCUACUUGCCCAGGCUGGCCUCAAAUUCCUGGGCUCAAGCAAUCUUCCCACCUUAACCUCCAGAGCAACUGGGACUACAGGCUCAUGCCAUCGUGCCUGGCUGAAGCCCUUUUGAAAGUAGAGAAACACAUGACCUAGCCAGGAGUCCCAAAGGAUACCAGGAAACACAGAAGCAGAAAGUGUUCACUGGAGAAGUGAGCAGUGCACAGCAAUUCCUGAUGACCCUGAAGUGGCCGACACGGUCAUUCUCAGCCCUUUUUGGGUCCUAGGCUCUUUGAGCAUCUGGUAAAGCCAAAAAUAUGUGUGCACAUGUCCAUCCACACUCACACACAGCCAUUUUCCAUAUAAUUUUAGGAGUCCAUGGAUGCGGGGUGAAGGGCCCCUAUUGCAGGGGCUUGAAUGGGCGUAGAGAAAACCAGGUUCGCAUUUAAGCUAGAUGCAUAUUUUGUUCAUUUGGGGUCACUACUUUGAAAAAAGGAUUGUUCUCUAUUACUGUAUACUGUAUUUUAUCUUUUUUUUUUUUUUUUUUUUGAGACAAAGAUUCACCUUGUCACCCACGCUGGAGUGCAGUGGCACGAUCUCAGCUCACUGCAACCUCCGCCUCCGGGAUCAAGCAAUUCUCCUGCCUCGGCCUCCCAAGUAGCUGGGACUACAGGUGUGUGCCACCACACCCAGCUAAUUUUUGUAUUUUUUGUAGAGAUGGGAUUUGGCUGUGUUGGCCAGGUUGGUCUUGAAC